CCUACGGGAGGCAGCAGUGAGGAAUAUUGGUCAAUGGGCGCGAGCCUGAACCAGCCAAGUAGCGUGAAGGAUGACUGCCCUACGGGUUGUAAACUUCUUUUAUAAAGGACGAAGCAAGUGACGGUACCUGAGGAAUAAGCCACGGCUAACUACGUGCCAGCAGCCGCGGUAAUACGUAGGUGGCAAGCGUUAUCCGGAUUUACUGGGUGUAAAGGGCGUGUAGGCGGGAAAGCAAGUCAGAUGUGAAAACCAUGGGCUCAACCUGUGGCCUGCAUUUGAAACUGUUUUUCUUGAGUACUGGAGAGGCAGACGGAAUUCCUAGUGUAGCGGUGAAAUGCGUAGAUAUUAGGAGGAACACCAGUGGCGAAGGCGGUCUGCUGGACAGCAACUGACGCUGAGGCGCGAAAGCGUGGGGAGCAAACAGGAUUAGAUACCCCUGUAGUC
rnacentral:rRNA from 1 species